AAGACUGGGGGGAAAGCCAGCUGGUCCUUUGCAGAGGAGUUUGCCUACUCUUCUUCUAAAGGAUGAAGCCCCAAGGAAGUCUGGACACACAGCUUUCAGAAGGGUUCUCAGAGGGCAGAUCAAUGAAGAAUUUUGCUGUGUGGCUGACUGCACAUCCUCUAUCAAGCGUGCAUAUUCAUCUUUAAGGAGCUGAUCAAUUCAUUUCAAGACAUCAUUCUUCCAAAACAAAGCAGAGGCUGAUAAACAACACUCCAAUGGUGGCUUGGAAAUGAUAUGAAUCCUACAUAAAAAUGAGGACAAUCCUAUAUGUGACGGUCUGUAAGGAAAACCAAGGUCUCACCAUAUUCUUCACCUAUACCGAGGAGCAGAGACUAGGACCAACAAAACACUGCUUCAUAGCUACCAUCAUUUGCAGCACACAGGGCAGGCAGAGGGCUGUGACAUAGGAUAUAGGACAAAGAAGGCUGGCUUUCUUCAAGUGCAAAAGUUCCAGAGUGUCUACCAUUUCCAUCUCCCAGUCCCAUUCCCCUUCAAGAGAAUCAAUGUUUUCUUUCUUGCUGGAACUGAACAUUAUAUUUAAAUCCCCACUGUAUCAUUAAAUAUGUCUCUUGCCUCCACACCGAUUUACCAAAUGUA